CAGGAACUCCCUCCCUGCGCCGGUUUGCAGCCCUCCUCCCAGCCUUGCGCUUCCAUCCGAGCCCACCAGGGCGGCGAAACGCCGACGCGACCCCAGCUCGAUUCCCCACGGAGGUGCGUGGGCCACCGUGGAUAAGCACCUCGCUAAACCCCAGCCGCACUCAAGCCGCGCUGCCGCCCCAACUGCAGGGCACAGCCCUGGGCGCACAGCAGGGUCCGCUGGGGGACCCCUGGAUCACGGGGCCUCGUGGGCGACUCCGCUGGAAGGCGCCUAAGAGCCAGGAGGCCGCACUGCCGCGUCAUUCCCGAAGGCCGACCUGCGCGGCCACCUGCCCGCAACUCGGAUCUAGCACCGCUCGCCCCGGGGCGCCCGAGUCCACCUUCCUUUCCCGGCCCGCCGCUGGCCCCACUUGGCCCCGCCCCGGACACUCACCUGCGCCGGCUCCGGGCUGGGCUCGCCGCCGCCUCCUAGCUCCGAGAGGAGUCCACAUCGGAGAAACAAGGCAAAAAGGACACCCUGGUUCGGAGCGGGCCUAUGGACGGAACCCAAGGAGCUCCCGGGCCGCCCCGAAGGCGGCGCCCAGAACCUCCAGAGCGCGACGCUGGAGGAGGCGGCGCCCGAGCGCGGAGCCCGGCGGGGGAACAAAGAGGAGCCGGGAUGGGGCCGCGCGCUUCCUGGGUGUCGGGUGACAGGUCUGCGGGGGGAAGGCCCCGGCCGGGCCACCUGAGGAGGAGCAGCCUCCGCGGGCCUGGCGGGGUAGGGUAAGAGAGGCAAGGGGACCCCGGAGCCCGGGAAAACCGUGCGCAGGGUGCCCUGGACGGCGCGGCCUGAGAGAGGCUCACGGGCUCCAGCACAGAGGUGCAGGGGCUACACCGAGUGCAGGGAUAAUGACUCUGGGAGGUUCACGGCCCCCUGAGCCCCGCCCGCCCCCUGCGCCACGCCAUUGGCUCAGGUGCCGAGAGGCGGGGGAGGGGCAGGGGGCGGGCCGGGGAUGAUUCACCUUGAAUGUGGCUCCGGUUGGUGCACAGCGCAGGGCACGCCCGACCGGGACUGCGGAGACGCUGGGAGCCCCGCCAGCUCGUCCAGCUCGGCCAGCUCUGGACCCAAGGGGUCUCGCCGCCUGCCCUCGCUCCUUGCAUCCUGCCUUCAGGCCAAGGUGCAGCUGGCCGAGAUGCGCCCCCAACGCUCGGCUACCCAAUCGCCCUCGGAGCCGGGAGAUGGCCGAGGUGCGCGUAGGGUAGCAAGCUUGGAAAUCCGAUCCUGGACUGGGGGAAGGGAAGUGCGUUUGGAGCUGAGACGCACUGUGGGGCCACUGGACGGAUCUCCGCAGUCUCCCCCGCAGAAAGAGCUCUUCCAAGAACGAGAGUCUAGCAUUGGCUCCUGCCUUGUGGGAACCAGUUCAAACGGAUGCUCCUGAGACUGAGGGCAGCUGCAGGAGGGAUGAGCCAAAGCAGUGGGGAUGCAGCUUAUACGGUAACUGGGAGCCCUGUCCUGAAAGCUGUGUGGUCCCUGCCGUAGGAAGCGGCUUUGACCGGAGUCAAGGCAGCAGAACAAGGACCACAACCUGUCCCAGGCUUCCUCCCCACCACAGCCUGCUCUCCUUCACCCGUUUAGCAGCAGUGACCCGGGUCAUCUCCAGAGAGGUGGAAACUGCUCAGUGUGACUUCUGGGGGCUUUUUCUCUUCCUGUUUUCCCAUGCCAUGGCCUUUGGACAAGUCUAUUCCCCCUUUAGGUUGCAGUUUCCUCAUCUGUAAAGGAAACCUUGGAGCUAUAUCUGCUUUUCUAAAGGUGAUCUAUACAUGCUGUUCCUUCACUCCUUUAACCCUGAGUUUUUCUUGUACAAGACACAUGGAGGAAGUAUGCUGUAGCCAUAGAAACAGAGGCAGAUGAGCUGGGCUGAGACCAGAAGAGCUCUACUGUGCUGGCUAUGAACCUCCUACUGUGUGCUACAUGGUGUGGGGCAGCAGGAGUCCCAGGCUGUUCUGGAUGUCACAUAGAUUAACACACAGUGGGCUUCCUUGGUGGCUCAGUGGUAAAGAAUCCGCCUGCCAAUGCAGGAGACACGGAUUCAAUCCCUGAUCUGGGAAGAUCCCACAUGCUGAGGGGCAACUAAGCCUGUGUGCCACAACUACUGAGCCUGUGCUCUAGAACCUGGGAGCCACAACUACUGAGCCUGCGUGCCAGAACUGCUGACGCCCGCAGGCUCAAGAGCCUGUGUUUCCUAACAAGAGAAGCCACUGCAGUAAGAUGCUCAUGCACAACAACUCGAAACUAUCUCUCACUCACCGCAACUAGAGAAAAAGCCCGUGCAGCAAUGAAGACCCAGCAGAGCCCAACAUAAAUACAUUAGUUUAAAAAAACGUUAUUUAAAAAAAUUAGCACAUGGUACCCCAGGAGCUGAAUCAAGCCCUGGAAUU
ensembl:lncRNA